UCGAGAAUAUUCCACAAUGGGCGAAAGCCUGAUGGAGCGACGCCGCGUGCUUGAAGAAGCCCUUCGGGGUGUAAAGAGCUUUUCUGUUUGAACAAGCUUCGGCUGAGUGUAAAACAGGAAUAAGAGGGUGCUAAUCACGUGCCAGCAGCAGCGGUAAUACGUGACCCUCAAGCGUUAUCCGGAUUUAUUGGGCGUAAAGAGUCUAUAGGCGCCUUGCCGCAUCUUUUGUUAAAUUUCAGAGCUCAACUUUGAAAAUGCGAAAGAGAUGGGUAGGGUAGAGGACGUUAGGGGCUGAUAGAACGGUCAGUGUAGGGGUAAAAUCCGUUGAUAUUGACCGGAAUCCUAAAAGCGAAGGCAUUCAGCUGGGACGUUUCUGACGCUGCAAGACGAAAGCGUGGGU
rnacentral:rRNA from 1 species